rnacentral:sRNA from 1 species
UAUCUCCCCCCGAGGUGUGUACCCAAA